UCUGCCAUCACAUCAAAGAGACUCAUUAAUCUUCGGCACACCAUGAAUCGUCCACUUCUUUUUCUUUCCUUACUGGUUUCUCCAUUAUAUGUCCACUCCAGUGUUCAGCUCAUGGAAUCUGGACCAGGAACCGUGAAACCCGGAGGAUCUCUGAGACUAACUUGCACCAUCAAUGGUGACUCUGUCAAGAGCAACUUAUGGGAUUGGAUCCGGCAAUCCCCUGGGAAAGGACUGGAAUGGUUGGGGGAAAUAGACUGGGAUGAAUCGAAAUGGCGCUUAGACUAUGCCCCAUCUUUCCGAGGCAGAAUCACCAUUUCGGCUGACUCCUCCAAUAAUGUGUAUUAUCUUGCACUGUCGUCUCUGACAGAAGCAGAUACAGCCACCUAUUACUGUGCUCGAAAUCCACAGUGA